rnacentral:rRNA from 1 species
ACCCGCUGAACUUAAGCAUAUCAAUAAGCGGAGGAAAAGAAACCAACAGGGAUUGCCCUAGUAACGGCGAGUGAAGCGGCAACAGCUCAAAUUUGAAAUCUGGCUCUUUUAGAGUCCGAGUUGUAAUUUGCAGAGGGCGCUUUGGCUUUGGCAGCGGUCCAAGUUCCUUGGAACAGGACGUCACAGAGGGUGAGAAUCCCGUACGUGGUCGCUGGCUAUUGCCGUGUAAAGCCCCUUCGACGAGUCGAGUUGUUUGGGAAUGCAGCUCUAAAUGGGAGGUACAUUUCUUCUAAAGCUAAAUAUUGGCCAGAGACCGAUAGCGCACAAGUAGAGUGAUCGAAAGAUGAAAAGCACUUUGGAAAGAGAGUCAAACAGCACGUGAAAUUGUUGAAAGGGAAGCGCUUGCAGCCAGACUUGCUUACAGUUGCUCAUCCGGGCUUUUGCCCGGUGCACUCUUCUGUAGGCAGGCCAGCAUCAGUUUGGGCAGUAGGAUAAAGGUCUCUGUCACGUACCUCUCUUCGGGGAGGCCUUAUAGGGGAGACGACAUACUACCAGCCUGGACUGAGGUCCGCGCAUCUGCUAGGAUGCUGGCGUAAUGGCUGU